rnacentral:rRNA from 1 species
CAGUAGCCACGGUAAUACGUAGGGUGCAAGCGUUAAUCGGAAUUACUGGGCGUAAAGCGUGCGCAGGCGGUUAUAUAAGACAGAUGUGAAAUCCCCGGGCUCAACCUGGGAACUGCAUUUGUGACUGUAUAGCUAGAGUACGGCAGAGGGGGAUGGAAUUCCGCGUGUAGCAGUGAAAUGCGUAGAUAUGCGGAGGAACACCGAUGGCGAAGGCAAUCCCCUGGGCCUGUACUGACGCUCAUGCACGAAAGCGUGGGGAGCAAACAGGAUUAGAGACCCCUGUAGUCCCUGUCUCUUAUAA